GGGGCUAUAGUUCAGCUGGCCAGAACGCUUCAUUUGCAAUGAAGAGGUCGGUGGUUCGAGUCCACCUAGCUCCACCA
rnacentral:tRNA from 1 species